rnacentral:rRNA from 1 species
AGAGUUUGAUCAUGGCUCAGAACGAACGCUGGCGGCAGGCCUAACACAUGCAAGUCGAACGCCCUGGCAACAGGGAGUGGCAGACGGGUGAGUAACGCGUGGGAAUCUACCUUGUGGUACGGAACAACCAAGGGAAACUUUGGCUAAUACCGUAUGAGCCCUUCGGGGGAAAGAUUUAUCGCCAUAAGAUGAGCCCGCGUAGGAUUAGCUAGUUGGUGAGGUAAUGGCUCACCAAGGCGACGAUCCUUAGCUGGUCUGAGAGGAUGACCAGCCACACUGGGACUGAGACACGGCCCAGACUCCUACGGGAGGCAGCAGUGGGGAAUAUUGGACAAUGGGCGCAAGCCUGAUCCAGCCAUGCCGCGUGUGUGAUGAAGGCCUUAGGGUUGUAAAGCACUUUCACCGGAGAAGAUAAUGACGGUAUCCGGAGAAGAAGCCCCGGCUAACUUCGUGCCAGCAGCCGCGGUAAUACGAAGGGGGCUAGCGUUGUUCGGAAUUAC